GACGAACGCUGGCGGCGUGCCUAAUACAUGCAAGUAGAACGCUGAAGGAGGAGCUUGCUUCUCUGGAUGAGUUGCGAACGGGUGAGUAACGCGUAGGUAACCUGCCUGGUAGCGGGGGAUAACUAUUGGAAACGAUAGCUAAUACCGCAUAAUAGUAGAUGUUGCAUGACAUUUGCUUAAAAGGUGCAAUUGCAUCACUACCAGAUGGACCUGCGUUGUAUUAGCUAGUUGGUGGGGUAACGGCUCACCAAGGCGACGAUACAUAGCCGACCUGAGAGGGUGAUCGGCCACACUGGGACUGAGACACGGCCCAGACUCCUACGGGAGGCAGCAGUAGGGAAUCUUCGGCAAUGGACGGAAGUCUGACCGAGCAACGCCGCGUGAGUGAAGAAGGUUUUCGGAUCGUAAAGCUCUGUUGUAAGAGAAGAACGUGUGUGAGAGUGGAAAGUUCACACUGUGACGGUAUCUGACCAGAAAGGGACGGCUAACUACGUG
rnacentral:rRNA from 1 species